GCCCGUGCGGCGGCGUCGCUUUUGCGGCGUCGCUUUUCUCGUUCCAAACGCUGCCGCCGCCCGCCGGCUACGAUGUGCUGUGCUUCGAUCUGAGAUUUUGGUAACACGGUUCAUUGAUAUAGUCCAGCACGUAGAUCGGGAGAUGGUUGAUUCCAUCAUCUUAUUAUCUCACUUCCGCUUCAUCAAAUCCUUUACUCCAGUGAUGGCGUUCCUGUCAUCUGGCGACAUGGCACUUGACUUACCUCUUUCAUCCACGGGUGAAUGUGGCCAAUCUGAUCUGUAUUAAUUUAUCCAUCAUCUGAUCAGCGGUCUACACAUUAUUUUAUUUGUGUGCUCUCAUACUUUGUUUAAGGUGAUUUGAGUCGAUCUAGCUAGUACAUGCAUGUUUAAGGUGAUUUGUCUUUUUCAUUUGAAUGAUUUGAACAUGCUUCAUCAAAUCCUUUACCAUACCAGGAUCUAUAUAUAAUUUCUCUCAUAUGGUUUAGAAUAAUACAGUCAUCUUUUUCUA